AUUAUGAGACUAUCAACUCAAAUGGAUGCAUUAUAGUUCUUCGGAACCAUUACGAUCUCAAAAGGAAAGGAGAAUGGUACAGAUGCACUGUCUGAGGUGUUUUGAGGUGCUUCAAAGUGUUCCAAGCUGUUGACUUACCUUAACAUGUUCUUGAAGUACCAUGGCAUGGAUUAAAAGGAAGUUUGGUGAGCGGGAUCCACCUAAACGACUCACUAGGAAAGCUAUGCGAAAUUGUUUAAAAGAACAAGGGGAUCAAACAGUGCUCAUUCUUCAUGCAAAAGUUGCGCAGAAGUCAUACGGAAAUGAAAAACGAUUUUUUUUGCCCUCUUCCUUGUGUGUAUCUUAUGGGCAGUGGUUGGAAGAAAAAAAAAAGAACAAAUGGAAUGAGAUGGGUGUUCUGAACAAGAGUCUCAACCCUGUGCAUUUAUUGGAAUAGGAAACAGUGGCCAAGAAAUGCAGCAGCUGAACUUGGAAGGGAAGAACCACGGUACAGCCAAAACAUUGUACAUAUCUGAUUCAGACAAGAGAAAGCAUUUCAUGUUGUCUGUAAAGAUGUUCUAUGGUAACAGUGAUGACAUUGGUGUGUUCCUCAGCAAGCGGAUAAAGGUCAUCUCCAGACCCCCCAAAAAGAAGCAGUCACUGAAGAAUGCUGACUUGUGCAUCACCUCGGGAACGAAGGUGGCGCUGUUCAAUCACCUUCAGUCCUAGACAGUUAGUUCCAGGUACCUGCAUGUAGAAGGAGGGAAUUUCCAUGCCAGUUCACAACAGUGGGGAGCAUUUUACAUCCAUCUCUUGGACGACGACGACGAGUCAGAAGGAGAGGAGUUCACAGUUAGACAUGGCUACAUCCAUUACGGGCAGACUGUCAAGUUUGUGUGCUCAGUGACUGGCAUGGCGCUCCCAAGAUUGGUAAUUAGGAAAGUUGAUAAGCAGACAGACAUUACGGGAUGCAGACGACCCUGUAAUCACAACUCCACACAUGUGCAUUUUACCUUAAGGAUACGGAAAAAAUGUAUUUGUGCCUUUCUCAAGAAAAAAAGAAUCCAAUUUCAGGCCACUCCAUGUCCAAAAGAACAAAAUAAAGAAAUGAUAAACGAUGGAGCUUCCUGGACGAUCAUUAGCACAGGUAAGGCAGAGUAUACGUUCUAUGAGGGAACGGGCCCCGUCCUUGCCCCAGUCACUCCUGUGCCUGUCGUAGAAAGUCUUCAGUUGAAUGGCGCAGGGACGUAGCAAUGGUUGAACUAAAGGGCAAAACUUUACUCCAAAUUUAUGAGUGUGGUUUGGGGAUGUAGAAGCCGAAACAAUGUACAGAUGUGGAAAGAGCAUGCUCUGUGUAGUCCCAGACACUUCUGCAUUCCGAGAAGGUUGGAGAUGGGUCUGGCAGCCAGUACAGGUUCCAGUAACUUUGGUCUGUAAUAACAGAAUCAUUUACUCCACCAGCCUUACCUUUACCUACGCACCAGAGCCAGGGCCGAGGCCACACUGCAACAAUGCUGCAGGAGCAAUUCUCAGAGCCAACUCCAGCCAAGUGCCCACCAAUGAGUCAAACACAAACAACGAGGGGAAUUACACAAACGCCAGCACAAAUCCUACCACCAGUGUCACAUCAGCCACAGCUACCGUGGUGUCCUAACUACUGUCUUUUUACUGGGACUUAAACUGACUUGAAUGCAGCAAAAAGUUGACAGAGAAAGGCAAGGAUAAAGUGAACAAUCUUUUGUGGUUUCUUGGGGAAAC